rnacentral:rRNA from 1 species
AUUGAACGCUGGCGGCAGGCCUAACACAUGCAAGUCGAGCGAGCGGCGGACGGGUGAGUAAUGUCUGGGAAACUGCCUGAUGGAGGGGGAUAACUACUGGAAACGGUAGCUAAUAACGUCUACCCUCAGAUGUGCCCAGCUGGGAUUAGCUAGUAGGUGGGGUAACGUCUCACCUAGGCGACGAUCCCUAGCUGGUCUGAUAGGAUGACCAGCCACAAUGGAACUGAGACACGGUCCAGACUCCUACGGGAGGCAGCAGUGGGGAAGAUGGCACAAUGGGCGCAAGCCUGAUGCAGCCAUGCCGCGUUUGUGAAGAAGGCCUUCGGUUUGUAAAGCACUUUCAGCGGGGAGGCGUUACCCGCAGAAGAAGCACCGGCUAACUCCGUGCCAGCAGCCGCGGUAAUUC